rnacentral:rRNA from 1 species
CAGUCGCCGCGGUAAAACGAAGGGUGCAAGCGUUAAUCGGAAUUACUGGGCGUAAAGCGUGCGUAGGCGGUGAGUUAAGUCUGCUGUGAAAUCCCCGGGCUCAACCUGGGAAUGGCAGUGGAUACUGGCUCGCUAGAGUGUGUCAGAGGAUGGUGGAAUUCCCGGUGUAGCGGUGAAAUGCGUAGAGAUCGGGAGGAACAUCAGUGGCGAAGGCGGCCAUCUGGGACAACACUGACGCUGAGGCACGAAAGCGUGGGGAGCAAACAGGAUUAGAUACCCCGGUAGUCCCUGUCUCUUAUAC